rnacentral:rRNA from 1 species
CCUACGGGAGGCAGCAGUGGGGAAUUUUGGACAAUGGGCGCAAGCCUGAUCCAGCAAUGCCGCGUGAGUGAAGAAGGCCUUCGGGUUGUAAAGCUCUUUUGUCAGGGAAGAAACGGUGGAGGUUAAUACCUUCUGCUAAUGACGGUACCUGAAGAAUAAGCACCGGCUAACUACGUGCCAGCAGCCGCGGUAAUACGUAGGGUGCAAGCGUUAAUCGGAAUUACUGGGCGUAAAGCGUGCGCAGGCGGUUGUGCAAGACAGAUGUGAAAUCCCCGGGCUCAACCUGGGAAUUGCAUUUGUGACUGUACGGCUAGAGUGUGUCAGAGGGGGGUAGAAUUCCACGUGUAGCAGUGAAAUGCGUAGAGAUGUGGAGGAAUACCGAUGGCGAAGGCAGCCCCCUGGGAUAACACUGACGCUCAUGCACGAAAGCGUGGGGAGCAAACAGGAUUAGAUACCCUGGUAGUCCACGCCCUAAACGAUGUCUACUAGUUGUCGGGUCUUUAUUGACUUGGUAACGCAGCUAACGCGUGAAGUAGACCGCCUGGGGAGUCGGUCGCAAGNUUAAAACNCAAAUGAAUUGACGG